GGGUUGUGAGGUUAAGCGACUAAGCGUACACGGUGGAUGCCCUGGCAGUCAGAGGCGAUGAAGGACGUGCUAAUCUGCGAUAAGCGCCGGUAAGGUGAUAUGAACCGUUAUAACCGGCGAUUUCCGAAUGGGGAAACCCAGUGUGACUCGUCACACUAUCAUUAACUGAAUCCAUAGGUUAAUGAGGCGAACCGGGGGAACUGAAACAUCUAAGUACCCCGAGGAAAAGAAAUCAACCGAGAUUCCCCCAGUAGCGGCGAGCGAACGGGGAGGAGCCCAGAGCCUGAAUCAGCAUGUGUGUUAGUGGAAGCGUCUGGAAAGGCGCGCGAUACAGGGUGACAGCCCCGUACACAAAAGCGCACAUGCUGUGAGCUCGAUGAGUAGGGCGGGACACGUGGUAUCCUGUCUGAAUAUGGGGGGACCAUCCUCCAAGGCUAAAUACUCCUGACUGACCGAUAGUGAACCAGUACCGUGAGGGAAAGGCGAAAAGAACCCCGGCGAGGGGAGUGAAAAAGAACCUGAAACCGUGUACGUACAAGCAGUGGGAGCCCCACCACUAAGCCAGUGGUGAACUCCACAUACGCAUCCUUUGCUGAGGAUACGGUUAACGGAGCGCAAGCGACGUUCAACCGCAAAAGAAGCAGAGGGGGCUUAGUGGUGGGGUGACUGCGUACCUUUUGUAUAAUGGGUCAGCGACUUAUAUUCUGUAGCAAGGUUAACCGAAUAGGGGAGCCGGAGGGAAACCGAGUCUUAAUUGGGCGUUAAGUUGCAGGGUAUAGACCCGAAACCCGGUGAUCUAGCCAUGGGCAGGUUGAAGGUUGGGUAACACUAACUGGAGGACCGAACCGACUAAUGUUGAAAAAUUAGCGGAUGACCUGUGGCUGGGGGUGAAAGGCCAAUCAAACCGGGAGAUAGCUGGUUCUCCCCGAAAGCUAUUUAGGUAGCGCCUCGUGAAUUCAUCUCCGGGGGUAGAGCACUGUUUCGGCUAGGGGGCCAUCCCGGCUUACCAACCCGAUGCAAACUGCGAAUACCGGAGAAUGUUAUCACGGGAGACACACGGCGGGUGCUAACGUCCGUCGUGAAGAGGGAAACAACCCAGACCGCCAGCUAAGGUCCCAAAGUCAUGGUUAAGUGGGAAACGAUGUGGGAAGGCCCAGACAGCCAGGAUGUUGGCUUAGAAGCAGCCAUCAUUUAAAGAAAGCGUAAUAGCUCACUGGUCGAGUCGGCCUGCGCGGAAGAUGUAACGGGGCUAAACCAUGCACCGAAGCUGCGGCAGCGACACUCAGGUGUUGUUGGGUAGGGGAGCGUUCUGUAAGCCUGCGAAGGUGGCCUGUGAGGGUUGCUGGAGGUAUCAGAAGUGCGAAUGCUGACAUAAGUAACGAUAAAGCGGGUGAAAAGCCCGCUCGCCGGAAGACCAAGGGUUCCUGUCCAACGUUAAUCGGGGCAGGGUGAGUCGACCCCUAAGGCGAGGCCGAAAGGCGUAGUCGAUGGGAAACGGGUUAAUAUUCCCGUACUUGGUGUUACUGCGAAGGGGGGACGGAGAAGGCUAUGUUGGCCGGGCGACGGUUGUCCCGGUUUAAGCGUGUAGGCUGGUUUUCCAGGCAAAUCCGGAAAAUCAAGGCUGAGGCGUGACGACGAGGCACUACGGUGCUGAAGCAACAAAUGCCCUGCUUCCAGGAAAAGCCUCUAAGCAUCAGGUAACACGAAAUCGUACCCCAAACCGACACAGGUGGUCAGGUAGAGAAUACCAAGGCGCUUGAGAGAACUCGGGUGAAGGAACUAGGCAAAAUGGUGCCGUAACUUCGGGAGAAGGCACGCUGACAUGUAGGUGAAGUGAUUUACUCAUGGAGCUGAAGUCAGUCGAAGAUACCAGCUGGCUGCAACUGUUUAUUAAAAACACAGCACUGUGCAAACACGAAAGUGGACGUAUACGGUGUGACGCCUGCCCGGUGCCGGAAGGUUAAUUGAUGGGGUCAGCGCAAGCGAAGCUCCUGAUCGAAGCCCCGGUAAACGGCGGCCGUAACUAUAACGGUCCUAAGGUAGCGAAAUUCCUUGUCGGGUAAGUUCCGACCUGCACGAAUGGCGUAAUGAUGGCCAGGCUGUCUCCACCCGAGACUCAGUGAAAUUGAACUCGCUGUGAAGAUGCAGUGUACCCGCGGCAAGACGGAAAGACCCCGUGAACCUUUACUAUAGCUUGACACUGAACAUUGAGCCUUGAUGUGUAGGAUAGGUGGGAGGCUUUGAAGUGUGGACGCCAGUCUGCAUGGAGCCGACCUUGAAAUACCACCCUUUAAUGUUUGAUGUUCUAACGUGGACCCGUGAUCCGGGUUGCGGACAGUGUCUGGUGGGUAGUUUGACUGGGGCGGUCUCCUCCUAAAGAGUAACGGAGGAGCACGAAGGUUGGCUAAUCCUGGUCGGACAUCAGGAGGUUAGUGCAAUGGCAUAAGCCAGCUUGACUGCGAGCGUGACGGCGCGAGCAGGUGCGAAAGCAGGUCAUAGUGAUCCGGUGGUUCUGAAUGGAAGGGCCAUCGCUCAACGGAUAAAAGGUACUCCGGGGAUAACAGGCUGAUACCGCCCAAGAGUUCAUAUCGACGGCGGUGUUUGGCACCUCGAUGUCGGCUCAUCACAUCCUGGGGCUGAAGUAGGUCCCAAGGGUAUGGCUGUUCGCCAUUUAAAGUGGUACGCGAGCUGGGUUUAGAACGUCGUGAGACAGUUCGGUCCCUAUCUGCCGUGGGCGCUGGAGAACUGAGGGGGGCUGCUCCUAGUACGAGAGGACCGGAGUGGACGCAUCACUGGUGUUCGGGUUGUCAUGCCAAUGGCACUGCCCGGUAGCUAAAUGCGGAAGAGAUAAGUGCUGAAAGCAUCUAAGCACGAAACUUGCCCCGAGAUGAGUUCUCCCUGAGACUUUAGGUCUCCUGAAGGAACGUUGAAGACGACGACGUUGAUAGGCCGGGUGUGUAAGCGCAGCGAUGCGUUGAGCUAACCGGUACUAAUGAACCGUGAGGCUUAACCUUACAACGCCGAAG
rnacentral:rRNA from 1 species